AACGAACGCUGGCGGCAGGCCUAACACAUGCAAGUCGAGCGCACCCUUCGGGGUGAGCGGCGGACGGGUGAGUAACGCGUGGGAACGUUCCCUUCUCUGCGGAAUAGCCUCGGGAAACUGAGAGUAAUACCGCAUACGCCCUUUGGGGGAAGGAUUUAUCGGAGAAGGAUCGGCCCGCGUUGGAUUAGGUAGUUGGUAGGGUAAUGGCCCACCAAGCCGACGAUCCAUAGCUGGUUUGAGAGGAUGAUCAGCCACACUGGGACUGAGACACGGCCCAGACUCCUACGGGAGGCAGCAGUGGGGAAUCUUAGACAAUGGGGGCAACCCUGAUCUAGCCAUGACGCGUGAGUGAUGAAGGCCUUAGGGUUGUAAAGCGCUUUCAGCUGGGAAGAUAAUGACGGUACCAGCAGAAGAAGCCCCGGCUAACUCCGUG
rnacentral:rRNA from 1 species